rnacentral:rRNA from 1 species
AGAGUUUGAUCAUGGCUCAGGAUGAACGCUGGCGGCAGGCUUAAUACAUGCAAGUUGAACGGUAACAUGUUGUAGCAAUACGAUGAUGACGAGUGGCGCACGGGUGCGUAACACGUGUGUAACCUACCUUAUACAGGAACAUAACGUUGAGAAAUCGGCGCUAAUAUUCCAUAAUAUUAUUUAUAGGCAUCUAUAGAUAAUUAAAACCCCGGUGGUAUAAGAUGGGCACGCGUUCCAUUAGCUAGUUGGUAAGGUAACGGCUUACCAAGGCCACGAUGGAUAGGGGUUCUGAGAGGAUACACCCCCACACUGGAACUGAGACACGGUCCAGACUCCUACGGGAGGCAGCAGUAAGGAAUAUUGGGCAAUGGAGGCAACUCUGACCCAGCCAUGCCGCGUGCAGGAAGACGGCCCUACGGGUUGUAAACUGCUUUUAAUAGGGAGUAAAAUCAGCUACGUGUAGUUGAUUGCAAGUACCUAUAGAAUAAGCAUCGGCUAACUCCGUGCCAGCAGCCGCGGUAAUACGGAGGAUGCAAGCGUUAUCCGGAUUUAUUGGGUUUAAAGGGUGCGCAGGCGGACUAAUAAGUCAGUGGUGAAAUUUACAUGCUUAACAUGUAUCGUGCCAUUGAUACUGUUAGACUAGUAUACAAAUGACGUAGCUGGAAUGUGUUAUGUAGCGGUGAAAUGCAUAGAUAUAACACAGAACACCGAUCGUGAAGACAGGUUACGAAUUUGUUAUAGACGCUCAGGCACGAAAGCGUGGGGAUCAAACAGGAUUAGAUACCCUGGUAGUCCACGCUGUAAACGAUGAUAACUUGUUGUUGGGCACGUAGUGCUCAGUGGCUAAGCGAAAGCGAUAAGUUAUCUACCUGGGGAGUACGAUCGCAAGGUUGAAACUUAAAGGAAUUGACGG